GGUCAAGCUACAAAGGGCUCACGGCGGAAUACCUUGGCACACAGAGGCGAUGAAGGACGUGGUUACCUGCGGUAAGUCUCGGGGAGCUGGAAGCACGCUUUGAUCCGGGAAUUUCCGAAUGGGGCAACCCUUAAUACGGCCAGCUGAAUCCAUAGGCUGGCACGAGCCAACCCAGCGAACUGAAACAUCUUAGUAGCUGGAGGAAGGGAAAGUAAAAACGACUCCCUA
rnacentral:rRNA from 1 species